ACAUUGAACCUUCGGGGGAUUUGUUGGGCGGCGAGCGGCGGACGGGUGAGUAAUGCCUGGGAAAUUGCCCUGAUGUGGGGGAUAACCAUUGGAAACGAUGGCUAAUACCGCAUGAUAGCUUCGGCUCAAAGAGGGGGACCUUCGGGCCUCUCGCGUCAGGAUAUGCCCAGGUGGGAUUAGCUAGUUGGUGAGGUAAGGGCUCACCAAGGCGACGAUCCCUAGCUGGUCUGAGAGGAUGAUCAGCCACACUGGAACUGAGACACGGUCCAGACUCCUACGGGAGGCAGCAGUGGGGAAUAUUGCACAAUGGGCGCAAGCCUGAUGCAGCCAUGCCGCGUGUAUGAAGAAGGCCUUCGGGUUGUAAAGUACUUUCAGCAGUGAGGAAGGAGGUAUCGUUAAUAGCGCUAUCUUUUGACGUUAGCUGCAGAAGAAGCACCGGCUAACUCCGUGCCAGCAG
rnacentral:rRNA from 1 species